rnacentral:rRNA from 2 species
GCUAUACAUGCAAGUCGAACGCACUCUCGUUUAGAUUGAAGGAGCUUGCUCCUGAUUGAUAAACAUUUGAGUGAGUGGCGGACGGGUGAGUAACACGUGGGUAACCUGCCCUAAAGUGGGGGAUAACAUUUGGAAACAGAUGCUAAUACCGCAUAAAACCUAACACCGCAUGGUGUAGGGUUGAAAGAUGGUUUCGGCUAUCACUUUAGGAUGGACCCGCGGUGCAUUAGUUAGUUGGUGAGGUAAAGGCUCACCAAGACCGUGAUGCAUAGCCGACCUGAGAGGGUAAUCGGCCACACUGGGACUGAGACACGGCCCAGACUCCUACGGGAGGCAGCAGUAGGGAAUCUUCCACAAUGGACGAAAGUCUGAUGGAGCAACGCCGCGUGAGUGAAGAAGGUUUUCGGAUCGUAAAACUCUGUUGUUGGAGAAGAAUGUAUCUGAUAGUAACUGAUCAGGUAGUGACGGUAUCCAACCAGAAAGCCACGGCUAACUACGUGCCAGCAGCCGCGGUAAUACGUAGGUGGCAAGCGUUGUCCGGAUUUAUUGGGCGUAAAGCGAGCGCAGGCGGUUUCUUAAGUCUGAUGUGAAAGCCUUCGGCUCAACCGAAGAAGUGCAUCGGAAACUGGGAAACUUGAGUGCAGAAGAGGACAGUGGAACUCCAUGUGUAGCGGUGAAAUGCGUAGAUAUAUGGAAGAACACCAGUGGCGAAGGCGGCUGUCUGGUCUGUAACUGACGCUGAGGCUCGAAAGCAUGGGUAGCAAACAGGAUUAGAUACCCUGGUAGUCCAUGCCGUAAACGAUGAGUGCUAGGUGUUGGAGGGUUUCCGCCCUUCAGUGCCGCAGCUAACGCAUUAAGCACUCCGCCUGGGGAGUACGACCGCAAGGUUGAAACUCAAAGGAAUUGACGGGGGCCCGCACAAGCGGUGGAGCAUGUGGUUUAAUUCGAAGCAACGCGAAGAACCUUACCAGGUCUUGACAUCCUUUGACCACUCUAGAGAUAGAGCUUUCCCUUCGGGGACAAAGUGACAGGUGGUGCAUGGUUGUCGUCAGCUCGUGUCGUGAGAUGUUGGGUUAAGUCCCGCAACGAGCGCAACCCUUAUUACUAGUUGCCAGCAUUUAGUUGGGCACUCUAGUGAGACUGCCGGUGACAAACCGGAGGAAGGUGGGGACGACGUCAAAUCAUCAUGCCCCUUAUGACCUGGGCUACACACGUGCUACAAUGGAUGGUACAACGAGUUGCGAGACCGCGAGGUUUAGCUAAUCUCUUAAAACCAUUCUCAGUUCGGAUUGUAGGCUGCAACUCGCCUACAUGAAGCCGGAAUCGCUAGUAAUCGCGGAUCAGC